rnacentral:rRNA from 1 species
CGCUAUCACUCCUACGGGGAGGCAGCAGUAGGGAAUCUUACCACAAUGGGCGCAAGCCUGAUGGAGCAACACCGCGUGAGUGAAGAAGGGUUUCGGCUCGUAAAGCUCUGUUGUUAAAGAAGAACACGUAUGAGAGUAACUGUUCAUACGUUGACGGUAUUUAACCAGAAAGUCACGGCUAACUACGUGCCAGCAGCCGCGGUAAUACGUAGGUGCCAAGCGUUAUCCGGAUUUAUUGGGCGUAAAGAGAGUGCAGGCGGUUUUCUAAGUCUGAUGUGAAAGCCUUCGGCUUAACCGGAGAAGUGCAUCGGAAACUGGAUAACUUGAGUGCAGAAGAGGGUAGUGGAACUCCAUGUGUAGCGGUGGAAUGCGUAGAUAUAUGGAAGAACACCAGUGGCGAAGGCGGCUACCUGGUCUGCAACUGACGCUGAGACUCGAAAGCAUGGGUAGCGAACAGGAUUAGAUACCCUGGUAG